rnacentral:rRNA from 1 species
UGAGGAAUAUUGGUCAAUGGGCGAGAGCCUGAACCAGCCAAGUAGCGUGCAGGAUGACGGCCCUAUGGGUUGUAAACUGCUUUUAUGUGGGGAUAAAGUGCGUGACGUGUCAUGCAUUGCAGGUACCACAUGAAUAAGGACCGGCUAAUUCCGUGCCAGCAGCCGCGGUAAUACGGAAGGUCCGGGCGUUAUCCGGAUUUAUUGGGUUUAAAGGGAGCGUAGGCUGUCUAUUAAGCGUGUUGUGAAAUUUACCGGCUCAACCGGUGGCUUGCAGCGCGAACUGGUCGACUUGAGUAUGCAGGAAGUAGGCGGAAUUCAUGGUGUAGCGGUGAAAUGCUUAGAUAUCAUGACGAACUCCGAUUGCGCAGGCAGCUUACUGUAGCAUAACUGACGCUGAAGCUCGAAGGUGCGGGUAUCGAACAGG